CUACGGGGGGCACCAGUGGGGAAUAUUGGACAAUGGGGGAAACCCUGAUCCAGCAAUGCCGCGUGUGUGAAGAAGGCCUGCGGGUUGUAAAGCACUUUCGGUUGGGAGGACUGCUUCUAGCACUAAUAUUGUUGGAAGUUGACGUUACCUUCAGAAGAAGCACCGGCUAACUCCGUGCCAGCAGCCGCGGUAAUACGGAGGGUGCAAGCGGUAAUCGGAAUUACUGGGCGUAAAGCGCGCGUAGGCGGCUAGAUCAGUCGGGUGUGAAAGCCCCGGGCUUAACCUGGGAACUGCAUCCGAUACUGUCUAGCUUGAGUACAGGAGAGGAGAGUGGAAUUCCACAUGUAGCGGUGAAAUGCGUAGAUAUGUGGAGGAACACCAAUGGCGAAGGCAGCUCUCUGGCCUGAUACUGACGCUGAGGUGCGAAAGCGUGGGGAGCAAACAGGAUUACAUACCCGAGUAGUC
rnacentral:rRNA from 1 species